UGAGGAAUAUUGGUCAAUGGGCGAGAGCCUGAACCAGCCAAGUAGCGUGAAGGAUGAAGGCUCUAUGGGUCGUAAACUUCUUUUAUAUGGGAAUAAAGUUUUCCACGUGUGGAAUUUUGUAUGUACCAUAUGAAUAAGGAUCGGCUAACUCCGUGCCAGCAGCCGCGGUAAUACGGAGGAUCCGAGCGUUAUCCGGAUUUAUUGGGUUUAAAGGGAGCGUAGGUGGAUUGUUAAGUCAGUUGUGAAAGUUUGCGGCUCAACCGUAAAAUUGCAGUUGAAACUGGCAGUCUUGAGUACAGUAGAGGUGGGCGGAAUUCGUGGUGUAGCGGUGAAAUGCUUAGAUAUCACGAAGAACUCCGAUUGCGAAGGCAGCUCACUAGACUGUCACUGACACUGAUGCUCGAAAGUGUGGGUAUCAAACAG
rnacentral:rRNA from 1 species